ACAUGUCAAAGGGUCGCUUCAUUGAUUUCAAAGGACAGCCUCCCUCUGCUGCAAAGAAGAUCCAUCAGAGACCAGACUUUCCUGUACCUGAGCCCGGCUGUGUGUCCAUAAAGAGUGACAUGUCAAAGGGUCGCCUCAUUCAUUUCAAAGGACAGCCUCCCUCUGCUGCAAAGAAAAUGGACCAGGAGAGCUCAGAGGUUCCCAGUGCUCAGGCUGCCCAGCAGCAUCAAAC